UUAAAAUAUAGUAUGGUACAACUUCUUAUUAGCAGUGGAUGGUUUGUAGGGCUUUCACACGAGGAUACACAAGUCCACUUGCAGACCUUCAUUAAGCUUACUGAUACAUUCAUUAUGACUGGGGUAAGUACAGAUUAUGUGAGGCUAACACUAUUUCCCCAUUCAGUUUUGGGGGAAGUUAAAAGGUGGUUAAAUGUAGAGUUGGCCAAUUCAAUUACAUCAUGGGAUGACUUAGCCAAAAAAUUCCUCAUCAGAUUCUUUCCAUCAGGUAAGACUGGAAGACUUUGCAGUGAGAUAGUGAGCUUUAAAAAAAAGCCUGAUGAAAACUACUAUCAUGCUUGGGGACACUUCAAUUCUCUUCUUUGGGAUUGUUCAUACCACCAAUAGUCCAAUGAGGUACUUGCUCAUACUUUUGUAGAAGCUUUUAAUCACAAUACGAAGAUUUUACUAGAUUCAGCCGCAGGUGGUCAAGCACUGGAAUUGACUUAUGAUGAGCUGUACACAUUACUAAACCGUAUAGUACAAGGAAGUCGAGAGUGGUAUUCCGAUUCUAGAAGUGCCACAAAAAGAAUUGUGGGUGUAUUAGAGGUGGACCAAUUCACAGACUUAUUAGCAUAGGUUUAUGCCUUACAAAAUUUGAUCAACACUCAUUUUAGUAGCAUGAAGUUUGGAGCAGCACAACCUACAGCCACAUUCAAUUUUAUCCAACAAGCUGCAGGUUGGUGUGUAGUAUAUGAAAUAAUGGCCAUUCUGUGGCCAUGUGUGCUUCAAAUCUAGCAUUUGUGAUGUCUGUAGGCGAUGAUCAAAGUCCAAAUUAUAGUAAUGCCUACAAUAUAAAGUGGAAGACUCAUCCACCAAAUAACCUAUGGAAUGCCCCACAGCCACAAGCCCAAUUAAAUCAGUCAACUAGCUACAUGGAAGAGAUGUUGAAGCAGAUUCUUGCUGGUCAAGCACAAAUGGCUACAGAUAUGAAAAAUCAAUAAGUAAAAUUAAAAAAUCAGAAAGCAACUCAGAGAUUCUUAGAGUUGCAGUUGGGGCAGUUACAACAAGCAUUGAACACUAGCGCUCAACGUAGUGGUAGAUACAAAGAAUCCAAAACAAGAUAUGUAAAUCACCCUGAGAAGUGUUAAAGAUCUUCAAGGAGAAACUCCCAAGGCAACAAAGGAGGUAGAUACAGAUAUGACUCCCCAAUAAGUUUCUGAAAAAGUUGCUAAAAAUUCAAGGAAGUUUGAAUACUUGAAAGAAAAAGUUGCUACAGAAGAAGUGAAGAAGAUGUCACUACUACCCUUAUCUCAAAGGCAAAUAAAAGUGAAGGAGGAUGUUAUGUUCAAAAAGUUACAUUCAGAGGACUUUAGAUUAACUUACUCUUGUUAGAUGUUUUACAGACUAUGCCUAAGCACGCAAAGUACUUAAGGGAUAUGGUGGAAAAUAAGGUAAAAUUGUAGGAUGUGGGAGCAAUAAAACUUACUGAAGAGUGUAGCACUGUGAUGACACAUAAAAUCCCUAAGAAAUUGAAAGAUCAAGGGAAGUUUGCUAUCUCUAUUCAAAUUAGGAGUAAAGCGGUCCAUGCAUUGAGUGACUUAGUGGUGAGCAUAAACGUGAUGCCCCUAUCACUAUUUAAAACAUUGGGAUUGAGGGAUCCUAAAUCGACACCAGUGGUUAUGAAGCUCAUAAAUGGAUCCAUAAUAUAUUCGGAAAGUGUAAUAGAGGGCAUUUUCAUAAAGGUUGGUAAAUUUAUUAUACCUGCUGGCUUAUUUGUUCUUGAUUUUAAGGCAGACGAAUAGGUACCAAUCAUCUUGGGGAAUCCAUUCUUAGAAACUGGAGGGGCCUUGAUUGAUGUUAGAAAAGGCAUGCUCAAAAUAAGGGUAGAUGAUAAAGAGGUGGUAUUUGAUGUUUACAAAACGCCUAUCAUAAAAUCCCAAAUUAAAGAUUUAUAUAUGAUCAAUGUUAUUAAAGGGAAAAAAUAUGGGGUGGUUAAUCCACAAAAGACCUCUUCAGAAUACCUAGUUGAACAGCCUAAUAUGCCUAAUGUUUCCCAACAUAAUGAAGGUUGAAGUUAAGAGAGAUGUUGACCUUAAGAGUGUAAACUCAAGAGGUCAGAAACGAAUGAAAAAAUGGCUCCCAAAGGGAAGUAAAAGGGUGAAGGAAUAUGGUUAAGUUUAUAUGGGUCAUGCCGCGACGCUAAAUUAGGUGUUGCUUGGGAGGCAACCCAAGUUAAUUAGGUAUAUUUUCUUUUUAGGUUUUUUUAGUUUUUAUUUCACGUAGUUUAUGUUUUUGGUUGAGUCAUAGGUUAAUGGAAAGUCUGAGUACCAUAAACUUGAGCUAAGGAGCAUGACAAAAACUAAGUGUGGGGUCCCGCAGAUCCUUCUUGAUGUAAAAAUAUGCUACUAGCUAGGCCUAAAGGCUUCAGGGAGUAUUUCUAUCUCUUACCUUUAAAUUCACUUUAGUUACAAAGUAGAUUUUUAAGUGUGGGGUGGGUAAAUCUCAAAUUUUAGCUCAAUUUAAAAAGAAAAUUGUGUAAGAUAUUCUUGUUGGUGUUAUUUUUUGAUUGCAUGAUGCAAGUGGGUUUGUUGGUAAAAGCAUUUUAAUUGAGUGAAUUGCUAUAUUUGAGACUCUUAGGCUCAUAUUUGUGACUCUUGUUCUUGUUGGCUUAAAUUUGAAUUCAUGCUAUUGUUGGUUGGGAGUCUAUGAUGAUCCUAUUAAGUUGAGCAUGUGGCAUGUGCGUGUGAGGUUUUUGAUAUUCCUUAUUGCAUAUGAUGCUAGAACUUUCCCGGUGUGUAUGUGAAGCGAAAUAAAGAAUGUGGGUUUAGGAGAUGAUUUAGGAAUUUCUUUGAUAGCCUGAUUUUAUACCUUCUAUUUGUCCUACCCUUUGUGCAUUAUCAUAGUUAACCCUAUUGAGACUUUAGCUUAUUUUCUUUGGUAGUCUCAUAUGUAGCCUAAUUCCUUCUUUGAUAGACCAUAAUUUGAUCCAAAAAGCUCGUAGGCAUUUUAAUGAAAAAUUAAUUGAGUAAGAAGUUUGAGAUAUAAGAAGAAAAAGGUGAAAUUGAUGCCCCAAGGUAAUAGUUAUUGGUGUUAAUAAUUGAUGUGUGGUGGAUGGAUGUGAUAUAAUUUAUGCUAGAAAUAUUUCCAUGAUUGUGACAAAGAGAAAAAUUGAUUUAUGUGGUAGUAAACUAUGCAUCCACUAAGUGUUUGUGAAAAUGCUUAAAAGAGAUGGGAAAAAAAAGGUAAUGGGUGGAUGAAAAAAUAGUGUAAAUUGGUUGUUGGAAAUUGGUUUUAAAUGUCUUAUGUAGUGUAUUAAAGCGCUUAGAGAUGUUAGUCACUUUUCCCAAAUAUUUUCUACCCGUCUCUUAACCUACAUUACAACCCAGAAAAGUCCUAAUUGAUCCUAAGUUCAUCAUUCCGAUAUUAGUAGAGCACUACACUAAGGGCAAGCCUAUGAUUUAUUGUUUGUAACUUGUGAAUUUUUUUUCUGAGAGUGAGCGUAAUUUGAUUCUUGUACCCAUUAUGUUAUAAAGUGCAUAUUGUGAGUGAUUAUGGGCAACUCUCUUGUUGUGAGGGGAACAUGUUUGAUGAAUGUGGGUGAUUUUUAUGAUUUCCUUGAUUGAAUGAUAUGUAUGAGUUUGCCACUUAGGUGUGUCAAUUCUUGAGGCUAGGAUGUUUCGGAGUAGAAUUCUUGAGAUUUCAAUUGUGUAAAUAACAUACUUUGUGUAGAAACUUGCAUUCCAUGUAGUCAUUCUAGUACUAGUUUGAGUGUCUUUGUUUUAGUACAAGGGUAGCGUCACCUCAUAUUUUGAUGCUUAGAAUAAAGAGUUAUUCGAGGAUGAACAAGAGUUUAAGUAUGGGGUGAUGAUCUGAGGUGGUUUUGUACACUUUGGUAUCAUUAUUAUAGCUUAUUUCGCCUUGUUUUGAGAGAAUUUGUAUGCUUAACAUGUUCAUGUUGAUAUAAAUAAGACUUUAAGUGUCCAAGUGUGUGAUUACAAUGUUCAAAGUGUUUUUCAAAUAAGUUUGUGCUUAAUUGAGUCAUUUAGAGUACAACCCGAAAAACUAGUUUUACUAGCUUGAGCUAGGUGUGUGUCUAGUUGGUUUCGAUGGAUUAUAAUGUGUUUAAUUUGUUCCAAAUGGGUUAAAUGUGUAAUUAUAAGUGGAAUAAAUUUUUUGUAAUAGGAAAAGUUUAAUUUGAUUAAGUCAAGAGUCGGAAUAUUAAGUAGAAGAUCAUUGCGAAUUUACCUUAUCUUAGCUUUUAUUUUGAUUCGUCAUUGAGGAUAUUGUGUUUUUUUGAUCUCCAACUUGUGGUGUGUGAUACUGUAGGGGGCUUUGUGAGAUAAAUAUGGUGAUAUAUUGAUGAUUCAAAGGUCAAAAAUUCAUUAGAAAUACACUACAAAAG
rnacentral:lncRNA from 1 species